rnacentral:rRNA from 1 species
GAUGAACGCUGGCGGCGUGCCUAAUACAUGCAAGUCGAGCGAACAGACGAGGAGCUUGCUCCUCUGACGUUAGCGGCGGACGGGUGAGUAACACGUGGAUAACCUACCUAUAAGACUGGGAUAACUUCGGGAAACCGGAGCUAAUACCGGAUAAUAUAUUGAACCGCAUGGUUCAAUAGUGAAAGACGGUUUUGCUGUCCCUUAUAGAUGGAUCCGCGCCGCCUUAGCUAGUUGGUAAGGUAACGGCUUACCAAGGCGACGAUGCGUAGCCGACCUGAGAGGGUGAUCGGCCACACUGGAACUGAGACACGGUCCAGACUCCUACGGGAGGCAGCAGUAGGGAAUCUUCCGCAAUGGGCGAAAGCCUGACGGAGCAACGCCGCGUGAGUGAUGAAGGUCUUCGGAUCGUAAAACUCUGUUAUUAGGGAAGAACAAAUGUGUAAUUAACUAUGCACGUCUUGACGGUACCUAAUCAGAAAGCCACGGCUAACUACGUG